rnacentral:rRNA from 1 species
UACGUAGGGUGCGAGCGUUGUCCGGAUUUAUUGGGCGUAAAGAGCUCGUAGGCGGUUUGUCGCGUCGGCCGUGAAAUCUCCACGCUUAACGUGGAGCGUGCGGUCGAUACGGGCAGACUUGAGUUCGGUAGGGGAGACUGGAAUUCCUGGUGUAGCGGUGAAAUGCGUAGAUAUCGAGAGGAACACCUGCGGCGAAGGCGGGUUGCUGGGCUGAUACUGACGCUGAGGCGCGAAAGCCAGGGGAGCGAACGGG